UCUGGAUAAAGUGACUGAUUUAUAUUGCAAUAUGUCAAACGCAUCCCUCCGGGCCAUCAUGCGGACUUUCGUUAUGAACCGGAGAUUUUAUAUCGCUGAAUAUAUUAACCAACAAUCCAGUUCGCAGAGUGCUCAGGACGCAAAUGGCGGCAAAGCGACGGCUCCUGCAGCCGAAAUGGAAAGAAGUUUGGCGCCUGGUUUGACCGAGACAAACGAGAGCAGUCCGGAUUCUGAAGAAUCAGUAAUUUCGCUGUCUAGAUCGGAGGAGACAAACGAGAGCAGUCCGGAUUCUGAAGAAUCAGUGAUUCCGCCGCCAUCUUCCUCUAUAACCGGAAUUGAAAAUUGUACGAGGAAUCAAAGGUUUCGUGAAAUCAAUCACGGAAAACAGUAACUAAAAUACUUACCAAGGAAACAGUUUACCAAGGAAACACAAAUACGAAAUCGAGACAAUGAUCAAAAACGACAAGCUGAAUGUGAUAUGUUCGAGGUUUCCCGAAUAUUUCCGGAGCCCAAACUCAACGAUUCCUGUGGAGAAUCUGGAUAAAGUGACUGAUUUAUAUUGCAAUAUGUCAAACGCAUCCCUCCGGGCCAUCAUGCGGACUUUCGUUAUGAACCGGAGAUUUUAUAUCGCUGAAUAUAUUAACCAACAAUCCAGUUCGCAGAGUGCUCAGGACGCAAAUGGCGGCAAAGCGACGGCUCCUGCAGCCGAAAUGGAAAGAAGUUUGGCGCCUGGUUUGACCGAGACAAACGAGAGCAGUCCGGAUUCUGAAGAAUCAGUAAUUUCGCUGUCUAGAUCGGAGGAGACAAACGAGAGCAGUCCGGAUUCUGAAGAAUCAGUGAUUCCGCCGCCAUCUUCCUCUAUAACCGGAAUUGAAAAUUGUACGAGGAAUCAAAGGUUUCGUGAAAUCAAUCACGGAAAACAGUAACUAAAAUACUUACCAAGGAAACAGUUUACCAAGGAAACACAAAUACGAAAUCGAGACAAUGAUCAAAAACGACAAGCUGAAUGUGAUAUGUUCGAGGUUUCCCGAAUAUUUCCGGAGCCCAAACUCAACGAUUCCUGUGGAGAAUCUGGAUAAAGUGACUGAUUUAUAUUGCAAUAUGUCAAACGCAUCCCUCCGGGCCAUCAUGCGGACUUUCGUUAUGAACCGGAGAUUUUAUAUCGCUGAAUAUAUUAACCAACAAUCCAGUUCGCAGAGUGCUCAGGACGCAAAUGGCGGCAAAGCGACGGCUCCUGCAGCCGAAAUGGAAAGAAGUUUGGCGCCUGGUUUGACCGAGACAAACGAGAGCAGUCCGGAUUCUGAAGAAUCAGUAAUUUCGCUGUCUAGAUCGGAGGAGACAAACGAGAGCAGUCCGGAUUCUGAAGAAUCAGUGAUUCCGCCGCCAUCUUCCUCUAUAACCGGAAUUGAAAAUUGUACGAGGAAUCAAAGGUUUCGUGAAAUCAAUCACGGAAAACAGUAACUAAAAUACUUACCAAGGAAACAGUUUACCAAGGAAACACAAAUACGAAAUCGAGACAAUGAUCAAAAACGACAAGCUGAAUGUGAUAUGUUCGAGGUUUCCCGAAUAUUUCCGGAGCCCAAACUCAACGAUUCCUGUGGAGAAUCUGGAUAAAGUGACUGAUUUAUAUUGCAAUAUGUCAAACGCAUCCCUCCGGGCCAUCAUGCGGACUUUCGUUAUGAACCGGAGAUUUUAUAUCGCUGAAUAUAUUAACCAACAAUCCAGUUCGCAGAGUGCUCAGGACGCAAAUGGCGGCAAAGCGACGGCUCCUGCAGCCGAAAUGGAAAGAAGUUUGGCGCCUGGUUUGACCGAGACAAACGAGAGCAGUCCGGAUUCUGAAGAAUCAGUGAUUCCGCCGCCAUCUUCCUCUAUAACCGGAAUUGAAAAUUGUACGAGGAAUCAAAGGUUUCGUGAAAUCAAUCACGGAAAACAGUAACUAAAAUACUUACCAAGGAAACAGUUUACCAAGGAAACACAAAUACGAAAUCGAGACAAUGAUCAAAAACGACAAGCUGAAUGUGAUAUGUUCGAGGUUUCCCGAAUA